GGGAAUUAGGGUUCGAUUCCGGAGAGGGAGCCUGAGAAACGGCUACCACAUCCAAGGAAGGCAGCAGGCGCGCAAAUUACCCAAUCCCGACACGGGGAGGUAGUGACAAUAAAUAACAAUACGGGGCUCUUUCGGGUCUCGUAAUUGGAAUGAGUACAAUUUAAAUCCCUUAACGAGGAACAAUUGGAGGGCAAGUCUGGUGCCAGCAGCCGCGGUAAUUCCAGCUCCAAUAGCGUAUAUUAAAGUUGUUGCAGUUAAAAAGCUCGUAGUUGAAUUUCGGGAUUGGCGCAUCGGUCGUGCCUCACGGGGUAUGAACUGGUGCAGUCAAUUUCUCACCUUCCGGAGAACCGCGAUGUCCUUAAUUGGAUGCCGCGGGGAACCAGGACCUUUACUUUGAAAAAAUUAGAGUGUUUAAAGCAGGCAUUUUUGCUUGAAUACAUUAGCAUGGAAUAAUAAAAUAGGACGGCAUGGUUCUAUUUUGUUGGUUUCUAGGACCACCGUAAUGAUUAAUAGGGAUAGUUGGGGGCAUUAGUAUUCAAUUGUCAGAGGUGAAAUUCUUGGAUUUAUUGAAGACUAACUACUGCGAAAGCAUUUGCCAAGGAUGUUUUCAUUAAUCAAGAACGAAAGUUAGGGGAUCGAAGACGAUCAGAUACCGUCGUAGUCGUAACCAUAAACUAUGCCGACUAGGGAUCGGAUGAUGUUUAAUUUUUUAAUGAUCCUUUGUGCACCCCG
rnacentral:rRNA from 1 species